GUCCCCAUCGUCCAGAGGCCUAGGACAUCGCCCUUUCACGGCGGUAACGGGGGUUCGAAUCCCCCUGGGGACGCCA
rnacentral:tRNA from 1 species